GGGAAAAUGUACGCAGUGGAGGCAGAGUCAGCUCUGUAUGUGGGUGGCUAGGUUUUCCUGUUAAGAAUCAGGCCUUAACUCACGAGAUGAGUGGAUCAGGAAAGCAGCUUCCUGGUUUGCAACCAGCACUACAAAAAUAAGUGAACGGAAUAGAAACACCCACCGCCAUCGAAUGCAGCAGCAGCGAUGCUGCUGCACGGAGCACCUUCCACAGGCCUCUCGCUCGUCCUCACCGGUGCUCCGGCUCACAGAGCCCCGUGACUCUGUCCGCCACGUGGGAAAGCAUGAGGCCUCGGCAUUGUCUUAAGUUUCCUGUCUUCCUUGUUAUUAUUUCUCCUUUUCCAGAUGCCACGGAGUCGGACUCAUUCAGUUCGUGGCCUUUUCGGACGUGCAGUCAGGCCUCCUCUGCGUUUUUCCUGCCUGUUACCGCCGAGCAGUAUUCUACUGCCCGGAUGGGCUGAGGGUCGCUCACCCGUCACCUGUGGAAGGACAGCUUUGUCGCUUCCAAUUUUUGUCCAGACGCUCCCCGAGCCCUCUGGCCCCUCAGUUCCUUCGUUUCCUCCUCUGCGAGAUGGGGCUGCCGCCGCCACUGGCAACUGCAGGGAGCACCCACCGAGGAAGGCAACGUCCACCAGGACGGCCACUGCUUACAUCGGGACGGGGACAGAGCGGUGUCGUCCACUCGAGGACAACACGAGGACUCUCAGCCGGACCCAGCAGCAAGCCCCGGCCUGUUGGCAGAGUAGUUAAUUUUCUGAAUUGCUGGUUUAGAAAAGCAUUGAUUUCUCAACUGAAUUCCAUUUAUUCCCAAAUCUGAAAGGCCAUGCUUUAAGAAAAUUCAAUAAAUAAAAAUUGCAACUGGUGAGA